UUUUCGCCGACUGGAGAGUGGCCGUCACGGCCCACCGAAGGGGCAGGCUGCAGGCGCAGCUGAAACUCUCAGGUUCAAGGACAGGGGGAGAGGC
rnacentral:ncRNA from 2 species